GCCUCAGUAGCUUAGCUCGGUAGAGCAUGUGACUGUUAAUCACAGGGUCAAAGGUUCAAAUCCUUUCUGAGGCG
rnacentral:tRNA from 1 species